GUAUGCCCAGAGGGAGAGAAAGACUUCUCUGGGCUUUAGCUAUGGCUCUGAAGCCUUCCUCACUUUCGUAUCUCCAUUAUCCAUGUUCACUCAUUUAACGAAGCCUCCAGAGACUUCCAGAAGGUUUCCAGAAAAAAUAGAAGGACUGAAGAGUGCAAGAGGGAAUUGGGUACCUCUAUAGAUAGCACCAACCCAGGGACGAACCUGUGGAGUCUUCACCCUCAGACAGUGCCCACAGUCUCCACCCACCAAGACCUGAUUUGGGCCUGACUCACUGGUGUUGAGGGGAAGCAAUGAGUCUUCAUAGUUCCCAGUGAGAAGGAGGAGAGCUGAGUAUCAUAACUUCAGCUCUGCCCUUGACCUUCUGGAAGAGCUACAGAACAUUUUACUAAGCAGUUUCCUCAAGGGUACUAAAUGAGUUCCUACAAAGAACUCUGACCUUAGGGGAAUUAAAGCUACACCCACAAUCAACAUGAAGCUCAACCUACAGAGUCAGAGGUAAGAGGCUAGGAAAAGAUUUCUGGUGGGGAUAG
rnacentral:lncRNA from 1 species